rnacentral:rRNA from 1 species
UACGUAGGAGGCGAGCGUUGUCCGGAAUUACUGGGCGUAAAGCGUGCGCAGGCGGUUUUGUAAGCCAGAUGUGAAAUCCCCGGGCUCAACCUGGGAAUGGCAUUUGGGACUGCAAGGCUGGAGUACGGCAGAGGAGACUGGAAUUCCUGGUGUAGCAGUGAAAUGCGUAGAUAUCAGGAGGAAUGCCGAUGGCGAAGGCAGGUCUCUGGGCUGAUACUGACGCUCAUGCACGAAAGCGUGGGGAGCAAACAGG